rnacentral:lncRNA from 1 species
AAUCUCUAUAGAAUUCUGGAAGUAAAGGAAACAGGCUUGAAAGAACAUUUGUAUUGAACUGGUAUCAGCUCUCAGAGAAGGUUAUGAACAGGGGGAGGUCAGGCUACACAGACCCAGCCAUUGCUGAGUAAAACCCACGUGACUCCGGAGGAGCUGGGGAAUUCCUUUUCUCAUAGUUUCCUCAGUACAAUGAAAGUUUGUUGUGUGAGACAGCAUCUCUCGAAGGGACCUGGAGCUCACCAAUUAGGCUACAGUUGCUGACCAGAGAGCCCCCUCCCCCAAUUCCUCCUCUCUCCUUUUUGUCCCCCAGAAUUGAAAUUUCAAGUGCGCCUCAGUGCCAAGCUUUUUGUAUGGGUGCCGAGGGGUUAAACUCGGGUCCCCAUGCUUGUACAGCAGGCAUGUGACAGACCGAGAUCUCACCACAACCAAGCAGAAGACAAGCCUCAUGACGGUGUUAAAGGAAUAAUUAGGAGGAAGCAUUUUAGGAGAUUUUAAAGUCAAGACUCAAGAAAGACUAAACAGCGGCUAAGUAGCUUGUGAUACUAAUUGCCAUCUGCCUUCUUCUAAUCCCAAUAAAAGAUAAAGACAC